rnacentral:lncRNA from 1 species
CAAGUGGGACAAAUCGAGUCGGGGAGAGGUACAUCAGGACUUUCUUUUCUAAAAAGGAAUCUAAUGUUAACAAGGGAAAGGUAGGAGUCAGCAUGACAAUCAUCCGGUAGGUAGGGGGCUCAAACUCUUCGUCUAAAAUCACUGACAACUGAAAAAGGUAUCUGAGCAAAAAGUACAGUUCCACCGGAUGUCAGGAGAAACAACAUCCAUCGACAUAUUACUUAGAGCUGAAGUCCGUCCAUCCAUCUCACCCAGACCCCGUCUCCUCCUCCACCCUCUCCCCAGCCGACCCCCCCCCCCCCCCCCCCCCCCCACCCCCAGCC